rnacentral:ncRNA from 1 species
UCCUUCGCGAGGUGGAAUCUGAAGGAAGCCGGAGGCAAAAUCCCGAACUGACGAACAGAAACUGUAUAUAAGGCUGAAUCGGAACGGAUAAGUUUGCACACAAAACAAAACCCAAUACUGCCCGAUGCUUUCGCUGGUUUGAUCGUUACGGUGCUGUCGUU